CGGCGGACGGGUGAGUAACGCGUGGGCAACCUGCCUUCCACUGGGGGAUAACACAGGGAAACCUGUGCUAAUACCGCAUGACAUCACAUAGGGCAUCCUGUGUGAUCAAAGGAGUGAUCCGGUGGAAGAUGGGCCCGCGUCCGAUUAGCUAGUUGGUGAGGUAACGGCUCACCAAGGCGACGAUCGGUAGCCGGACUGAGAGGUUGGCCGGCCACAUUGGGACUGAGACACGGCCCAGACUCCUACGGGAGGCAGCAGUGGGGAAUAUUGCGCAAUGGGGGGAACCCUGACGCAGCGACGCCGCGUGAAGGAAGAAGGCCUUCGGGUUGUAAACUUCUUUGAUGAGGGACGAAGGAAGUGACGGUACCUCAAAAACAAGCCACGGCUAACUACGUGCCAGCAGCCGCGGUAAUACCUAGGUGGCGAGCGUUGUCCGGAAUUACUGGGUGUA
rnacentral:rRNA from 1 species